CAGUUUUGGCGGAGCCAUCCUUGGGAUACCACCCUUGUAGUACUGGGACUCUAACCAUAGGCCAUGAAUCUGGUCUUGGGACACUGUCAGGUGGGCAGUUUGACUGGGGCGGUCGCCUCCCAAAAGGUAACGGAGGCGCUCAAAGGUUCUCUCAGUACGGUCGGAAAUCGUACGUAGAGUGUAAAGGCAAAAGAGAGCUUGAUUGCAAGACAUACAGGUCGAGCAAGGAUGAAAAUCGGACUUAGUGAUCCGGUGGGUCUGCGUGGAAGGGCCAUCGCUCAACGGAUAAAAGCUACCCUGGGGAUAACAGGCUUAUCUCCCCCAAGAGUCCACAUCGACGGGGAGGUUUGGCACCUCGAUGUCGGCUCAUCACAUCCUGGGGCUGUAGUAGGUCCCAAGGGUUGGGCUGUUCGCCCAUUAAAGUGGUACGCGAGCUGGGUUCAGAACGUCGUGAGACAGUUCGGUCCCUAUCCGUCGCAGGCGUAGGAAAUUUGAGAAGAC
rnacentral:rRNA from 1 species